CAGUCGCCACGGUAAUACGAAGGGGGCUAGCGUUGCUCGGAAUGACUGGGCGUAAAGGGCGCGUAGGCGGUUUGUACAGUUGGAUGUGAAAUUCCUGGGCUUAACCUGGGGGCUGCAUUCAAUACGUGCAGGCUUGAGUGUGGAAGAGGGUUGUGGAAUUCCCAGUGUAGAGGUGAAAUUCGUAGAUAUUGGGAAGAACACCGGUGGCGAAGGCGGCAACCUGGUCCAUUACUGACGCUGAGGCGCGAAAGCGUGGGGAGCAAACAGGAUUAGAUACCCGAGUAGUCCCUGUCUCUUAUAC
rnacentral:rRNA from 1 species